GACAGAGGAUGCAAGCGUUAUCCGGAAUGAUUGGGCGUAAAGCGUCUGUAGGUGGCUUUCAAGUCCGCCGUCAAAUCCCAGGGCUCAACCCUGGACAGGCGGUGGAAACUACCAAGCUGGAGUACGGUAGGGGCAGAGGGAAUUUCCGGUGGAGCGUGAAAUGCAUUGAGAUCGGAAAGAACACCAACGGCGAAAGCACUCUAGCUGGGCCGACACUGACACUGAGAGACGAAAGCUAGGGGAGCGAAUGGG
rnacentral:rRNA from 1 species